AGAUAGAGGUGCGGUUUUUAAGAGUAGAUUUAUGGAGAAGGUCAAUUCGAUGAAAUAACUUGAAAGGGGAAAUCGCCGAAGUACAAAGAGUGACGAACUUUGCUACUGGGUCUAUGGAGAAUAUCUAUAGGACUGUCAUUAUAAUGUGUAAUGGUGAGCUGUCAGA
rnacentral:ncRNA from 1 species